GACGAACGCUGGCGGCGUGCUUAACACAUGCAAGUCGAACGGAAAGGCCCUGCUUUUGCGGGGUGCUCGAGUGGCGAACGGGUGAGUAACACGUGAGUAACCUGCCCUUUACUUUGGGAUAACUUCAGGAAACUGGGGCUAAUACCGGCUAGGAGCUCCUGCUGCAUGGUGGUGGUUGGAAAGCUUCGGCGGUUGGGGAUGGACUUCCGGCUUAUCAGCUUGUUGGUGGGGUAGUGGCUUACCGAGGCUUAGACGGAUGGCCGGCAUGAGAGGGUGACCGGCGUCAUGAGGACGAAGGUAGGCACCAGUCUCGUACGGGGGGAAGGGGGAGGAAGUAUUAUACAGUGGGCGGGAGCCUGAUGAAAAAGCGCCGGGAGCGGGAAGACGGCCUGGGGGUGAAGAAGCGCAUUAGCCUAUGACGAAGCGUGAGUGACGGUACUGGGUAAAUAAGCACCGGCUAACUCCGUG
rnacentral:rRNA from 1 species